ACUCCUACGGGAGGCAGCAGUAGGGAAGUCUUCCACAAUGGGCGCAAGCCUGAUGGAGCAACACCGCGUGAGUGAAGAAGGGUUUCGGCUCGUAAAGCUCUGUUGUUAAAGAAGAACACGUAUGAGAGUAACUGUUCAUACGUUGACGGUAUUUAACCAGAAAGUCACGGCUAACUACGUGCCAGCAGCCGCGGUAAUACGUAGGUGGCAAGCGUUAUCCGGAUUUAUUGGGCGUAAAGAGAGUGCAGGCGGUUUUCUAAGUCUGAUGUGAAAGCCUUCGGCUUAACCGGAGAAGUGCAUCGGAAACUGGAUAACUUGAGUGCAGAAGAGGGUAGUGGAACUCCAUGUGUAGCGGUGGAAUGCGUAGAUAUAUGGAAGAACACCAGUGGCGAAGGCGGCUGUCUGGUCUGUAACUGACGCUGAGGCUCGAAAGUAUGGGUAGCAAACAGGAUUAGAUACCCUGGUAGGAUAGCG
rnacentral:rRNA from 1 species